GGACAACCAUAUUGCCUACAGACCAGCAUGUGAGCUGGGGGAACAAACAAGGGAAAGACUGAAAGAAAAACAAAGCUUAAACAGAGAAAGUAGUUCCUGGUCACACGCAACUGGUGUGAUGAAAAACUUCUGGAAGGUCAAGGAAUGAAGUGCAUAUCACAGGAUCUGAAAUCACAACAUAAUGCGAAAAUUGAAGCUCAUCUCAGAGACAUUCUGGUAUCAGUUCUUCAGAAAAUGUGACCUGCCAGCUCUGCCUCAAUAUGCUCUAUCUCUAUCUUGUACCUGUGACGUGUUUGGCAUGUGGGCUGUUUAGAGGUCUUUCAGAGCAAGGCCCAGCAUACGUCUUUUGAUGUGCUGGAUCAAUAAAGUUAUCAAGAAGUCAGGUGACACCAUGGGAGUUGAAGAUGGACAUAUGGGUCACUGAUCGACCAGAGAUCACUGGGCAAACCUCUCUUUAUCUUCACACCCUCUCUAGCGGCAAAGGAGCUCUUUCUCAAAGAAAUGGAAACUUCAGCAGGUGGAUGCAGAGUUUUUCAUGGAAAAGAUCAAGCAUGAUAAGAGUGUGAAGGGUUCUGUUUAUUACAGUAGAGAGAUAAACAAGGUGAUGUUCUUUUCCCCAUGACAUCCUCCAAGACAUUUGCCAUUGUAUUAUAGGACUAGUUUAAUUACAGAUCAGUUUGUUAUUGUCAUUCAUCAUUUAUAGUCAUCAUCUCUUUUAUCUGCUAAGUCAAUGUUUUGUGUCAGGCUGCAUGAUAACGCUGUUUCAAGUAUGCUGGGAAGAGCAGUUCCAUUUUAGCCACAAAGGGAACCUGCAGUUUUUUUUUAUUGGGGAGGAGGUUAAAAUGUG